rnacentral:misc_RNA from 1 species
ACAAUUUGGUCACACUGACAUUGUGCUGCAGUUGCUAGAAAAAUAUUAUUUUUUGUAGAUUUUACUUCUAUCCAUGUUGUAACAACUCGGCAAAAAGCAACUAAACCCGACAUUUAAUGCACACACUGUUUAACCAGCACAUUUUCCAACAUGGAUUGCAAUCUGGGCAGCGAAAUUGGUCAGAAGAUGCGCAGUGCCGUAAAGGCGAAGCUGCUCGAAUUAGGUACUGGCGGCUCUGCCGGCUUCAUCGACGACGAACUGCCUGACUAUGUAAUGGUAAUGGUGGCCAAUAAACGCACCAAACAGCAAAUGAACGCAGAGCUCAAUCUGUUCCUCGGCGAUCAGACCGAUCUCUUCGUGACUUGGCUGCACGAAGUUCUUCAAAAGCUGCAGGAAGUAACGCUACCAGCAUCAAGUGCUGGCAGUAAGAAACGCAAAUCUCGUCAAGCCGAGGCGCCCAAAGCAAAGGACAAAGACAAGGAUAAGGAUAAGGACAAAAGGGGCAAGGACAAAAAGGAUAAAAGGGCGCACAGAAAAUCCGGCGACGACUUGCCUAAUACAUCAGUUGAUAUUACAAAAAGAUCAGCAGACUCGAUGCCGGCAAUUAACUCCAUAACGGAUGUCUUUGCCGAAGAGCUACUCGAAAAAGCUAAAAAGACGCUCGAUAUGGAUGGUAGCCUGAAGGAUGAGCUGCUGCUCAAGAAGAAAAAACGCAAAUCAGCAGAAGAUGAUGAGCAACCGCAUCCGCAGCCACUACAGCAGCCGGCAACAAAAGAUUUCGAUGUACCAACCGUGUCAGAAAUCAGCUCAACUACCACCAGUGGCAAUCGGGAGAAGGAUAUUGCUGAGUUGGCCGAAAUUCAGCGUAAAAUCUACGCAGCCAAGCAGCAUUUGCGCCAGAUUGGUGAGCUGGACGAUGAAAGCGAAGAGGAGGAAUGCCAACAGCUGGUCGAGGAUGUGCUAAGUAUCAACGAGCAGGAUGAGUCUGUUGCCCAAGAUUCCAUGACUGCAAUUACAGAAGCAUCAAGCGCCAGUACGAGCACACGUCGAGCAAAGAGUCCCAUUGUGUUUAAUAGGACGACCGAUCCAGUGGUAGCUAGAGAAAAACCAAAAUCUCAAAUUGAAACAACAGCUCAGCAAAAGUUUAGCGACGAGCGUUCGGAGCGGCGCUCGGUGCACGAGCGUUUAGGCUGCAAGACACAAGGUCCACAGCCGCCACAACAACAGUUAACGCUUCCGGAGCGUUCACAACGCAUGCAAAAGGAGCUGGAGCUUUAUGUACCAGCUCAUCGCAGACGCAGCGAGCAGCAGCAGGAGGAGAGCAAGAAACUUGAACGUGGCAGAGAACGUAGUCAUCGCAACGAUAGCCAGCCAAGUCGCCGCCGAGAGCGGGAGACGUUGCGCAGUCGACGCACACCUAGCCGUAGUCCCGAAUCCAACUUCAAGCAUCGCAUUGGGUCGCGUGUGAUUGUGGCAGUUAAUAAGCCGCCGGAGCCAUCCGACGAUGAGGAUCUGCUGGAGAAGCCCGUUAAUUCGGUUAUCAAGAUUAAGCCACGGCCACAGGUUUCGCCGCGGCGCCAGGCCUGCAAGAAUCUGCUGCUUCGAGCCGUUGCCGAUGCACAGCGAUCCACGAUCUUGGCCAAAACGACAGUGACGCCGACAACAGCUGCUGUCGCGGCAUUAAAGCAACGAGGUACUGGAGACGAGCCAGAGCUCAUCAGUUCCACGUUGGGCAAACGGCGCUCAAAUGAUUCAAGUGGAAGUGGUGCUGGAAGAGAGCUGUUUCGGCGCAGCAGGCGGGAGCUGAUGGUCAAUGUACUGCACAGAGAUAGCAAACAGAUGCGUCACUCAGCCGAGCCACAUGCUGAAAUCAAUCUGGUGGCAGAGGAGCUAGAGGAGGAGUAUGUGCCCAGCUUAAGCGUUGGCAACUAUGAGGCUUAUGUGCCACAGCUGGUACACAACGAUGCGGCGAAAGUGGACAUAGAUAUUGACAUGCAUGUGGAAAAAAGUGCUGGAAGCGUCGGUGGCUCCACAGCUGGUGUAUCCAAAACACAAUUUGUGGUGACACUGAAUGGUGAUAAAUCUUUGGGAAGUGUCGCUACUGCUGCCUAUCGUAAGCGUCCACGUAAACGCACGCCUUCCCCGCAAGUAUCCUCGACCAGUUGCACAACAGUGCAGUUUCUGAGCGCUGAGCCAACCUCAACGACCUGCACUUCCUCAACAAACAACAACAACAGUAGGCGUAACAAAUCCAAACGGGCGCGCAGCUCGUCGCGAUCUUCCCCUUCCACAUCGAGCAAUACGCCGCCACCAAAGCCUUCGCGCAGUCUGCAUCGCAGCGAGGUGUUGAGACAAGCGCCGGAAAUUAAGAAAAUCAUCAUCAAGAAUGACGCUGAAGACGAUGAGGAGGAGCAGCAGUUGCCUGAAUCGCCGCGUAAGCAUGGCUCCCAAAAACGGCAGGGCAGCAACUCCAAUAUGUCCGCCUCUUCCUCCAAUGACCUAAAGGCAGACUCAAAAGUUCAGCCAGAAGAGAGCAAUCGCUCAACUACGCCACCACUGCCACCAAUGCGGCUGCAGAAACGCGACUUUAGCCGUGAGAAAUCAACAACGGCGUCAGCGGCUGCAACUCCGGCAACAGUAGAUGCGCCUGCAAAGGCCAAGCACACGCCCAUACGCUUUAAGCUUAAGUCGGAUGAGGAGGAGUUGCAGCCGGUAAAGAAACGUCGAUCCGGCAGCAAAGAGCGUGAAUCGUCCAUGGAACGACGGCGAAUCUCUAUACGCAAUGCGGAAGAUCGAAAGUACGAUAAUUUACCGGCAUCUAACCCUCGGCGGAUCGCAAAAACAUACGAUAAGAAAAAUAUAAUACUUACAAUACAUAAUUCCAACAAGUAAUUAUGCUCUUCUCGGAGAGUGAUCGAUAAGAAGAUACCCUAUAGCUAAUUCAAGAAUAUCGUUAAUUAUUAAGCAUUCGUAAGCGCCGUCAGUGUGGAUUCAACGGUUUUAAAGGUGACGAAGCCAAAGGAGCGCUGCAAAUACCAUCCCAAUU